UACAGAGACUGCAAGCGUUAUUCGGAUUCACUGGGCGUAAAGGGUGCGCAGGCGGCCGUGUGUGUGAGGCGUGAAAGCCCGGGGCUCAACCCCGGAAUUGCACCUCAAACUACAUGGCUAGAGCAUUGGAGAGGGAAGCGGAAUUCACGGUGUAGCAGUGAAAUGCGCAGAUAUCAGGAAGAACACCUAUGGCGAAGGCAGCUCUCUGGGACGGUACUGACGCUGAGACGCGAAAGCGUGGGGAGCGAACAGG
rnacentral:rRNA from 1 species